UUAAGGUAAUGCUUGGAUACAUUCCAACUCGACAUUUUUAUUCUCCCUACGCAACAAAGACAACCUUGCUCCAUUUAUUGCCAACAUCAAGCAAGGUCAGGAGCACAAAGCAAUCUUGUGUUACCCUGAUUAUGGACCGGUCUUUGGUGGAAAUAAUGAUCUGCGUAUUUGUAGCAAUCCUCAAGUUAAUCAAUCAUACAGCAAUUUUGGACACACAUAUCAACUUCCCCCUGGUUAUGUCUAUGACAGUGAACAAACAAAGAACCUUCUUGCUGGUCAGUACAAAUUCUUAACGACAGAAAUUGAAGUUUUCAACUGAAAAGUGCCUUUG